GUGGGGAAUAUUGGACAAUGGGCGAAAGCCUGAUCCAGCCAUGCCGCGUGUGUGAAGAAGGUCUUCGGAUUGUAAAGCACUUUAAGUUGGGAGGAAGGGCAGUAAGUUAAUACCUUACUGUUUUGACGUUACCGACAGAAUAAGCACCGGCUAACUUCGUGCCAGCAGCCGCGGUAAUACGAAGGGUGCAAGCGUUAAUCGGAAUUACUGGGCGUAAAGCGCGCGUAGGUGGUUCAGCAAGUUGAAGGUGAAAUCCCCGGGCUCAACCUGGGAACUGCCUCCAAAACUACUGAGCUAGAGUACGGUAGAGGGUAGUGGAAUUUCCUGUGUAGCGGUGAAAUGCGUAGAUAUAGGAAGGAACACCAGUGGCGAAGGCGACUACCUGGACUGAUACUGACACUGAGGUGCGAAAGCGUGGGGAGCAAACAGGAUUAGAUACCCGAGUAGUCC
rnacentral:rRNA from 1 species